rnacentral:rRNA from 1 species
UACGUAGGGGGCAAGCGUUGUCCGGAAUUAUUGGGCGUAAAGCGCGUGUAGGCGGUCCGGUAAGUCGGCUGUGAAAGUCAAAGGCUCAACCUUUGAAUGUCAGCGGAUACUGCCGGGCUAGAGUCCGGAAGAGGCGAGUGGAACUCCUGGUGUAGCGGUGGAAUGCGCAGAUAUCAGGAAGAACACCAACGGCGAAGGCAGCUCGCUGGGACGGAACUGACGCUGAGGCGCGAAAGCGUGGGGAGCAAACAGG